rnacentral:rRNA from 1 species
CAGACCGCCAGCUAAGGUCCCAAAGUCACAGUUAAGUGGGAAACGAUGUGGAAAGGCACAGACAGCCAGGAGGUUGGCUUAGAAGCAGCCACCCUUUAAAGAAAGCGUAAUAGCUCACUGGUCGAGUCGGCCUGCGCGGAAGAUGUAACGGGGCUAAACUGUGCACCGAAGCUGCGGCAGCGACACUAUGUGUUGUUGGGUAGGGGAGCGUUCUGUAAGCCGUUGAAGGUGGCCUGUGAGGGUUGCUGGAGGUAUCAGAAGUGCGAAUGCUGACAUAAGUAACGAUAAAGCGGGUGAAAAGCCCGCUCGCCGUAAGCGCAAGGUUUCCUGUCCAACGUUAAUCGGGGCAGGGUGAGUCGACCCCUAAGGCGAGGCCGAAAGGCGUAGUCGAUGGGAAACAGGUUAAUAUUCCUGUACCGAUGUGUAGUGCGAUGUGGGGACGGAGAAGGUUAGCUCAGCCAACUGUUGGAUAUGUUGGUUCAAGCCUGUAGUCGUGCCUGGUAGGCAAAUCCGCCAGGCUUAGAUGAGGGGUGAUAACGAGUCUGCUUGCAGACGAAGUGAGUGAUACCCUGCUUCCAGGAAAAGCCACUAAGCUUCAGCUACACACGACCGUACCGCAAACCGACACUGGUGCGCGAGAUGAGUAUUCUAAGGCGCUUGAGAGAACUCAGGAGAAGGAACUCGGCAAAUUGAUACCGUAACUUCGGGAGAAGGUAUGCCGCAAGUAGGUGAACUUGAACAAAGGGAGCCCAAAGCGGUUGCAAAAAAUCGGUGGCUGCGACUGUUUAAUCAAAACACAGC